GACGAACGCUGGCGGCGUGCUUAACACAUGCAAGUCGAGCGGAAAGGCCACUUCGGUGGUACUCGAGCGGCGAACGGGUGAGUAACACGUGAGUAAUCUGCCCCUGGCUUUGGGAUAGCCACCGGAAACGGUGAUUAAUACCGGAUACGACCACUUCUCGCAUGGGAUGGUGGUGGAAAGUUUUUUCGGCCAGGGAUGUGCUCGCGGCCUAUCAGCUUGAUGGUGGGGUAAUGGCUCACCAUGGCUUCGACGGGUAGCCGGCCUGAGAGGGUGACCGGUCACACUGGGACUGAGACACGGCCCAGACUCCUACGGGAGGCAGCAGUGGGGAAUGUUGGACAAUGGGCGGAAGCCUGAUCCAGCAACGCCGCGUGAGGGAUGACGGCCUUCGGGUUGUAAACCUCUUUCAGCAGGGACGAAGCGCAAGUGACGGUACCUGCAGAAGAAGCACCGGCCAACUACGUGCCAGCCGCCGCUGUAA
rnacentral:rRNA from 1 species